rnacentral:rRNA from 1 species
CACACGACUCUCGGCAACGGAUAUCUCGGCUCUCGCAUCGAUGAAGAACGUAGCGAAAUGCGAUACCUGGUGUGAAUUGCAGAAUCCCGUGAACCAUCGAGUCUUCGAACGCAAGUUGCGCCCGAGGCCAUUCGGCCGAGGGCACGCCUGCCUGGGCGUCACGC